rnacentral:lncRNA from 1 species
GUCCUUUAUUCUGAAAAUCUAAAACUACAUCCCCGAAUGUCUGGGUGGACUUCAUAGGUAUAAACUGAAUGGACAUUAGAUAAGCCAGCUUCUACCUCCCAUAACUGCAUGAAUUUUUUUUUUUUUUUUUUUUUGGCUGGGACCACAUUGGUUGAACCUAAAGUAAAUAGUAACCUGAAAAUUCUUUAGGGGCUCAUGUGUGUGCUUGGCCAAAAAGAAAGUGACCUCUUUCAUUCUUUCUUUCCUUCUGUGGCAUGACCCUUCACUACGGAGAAAAAAGGAGUAGAGGUUGUACUGGAGGGGGACAGAGACAAUUCUAAUUUUCUCUUUUCAGUUUUUCACUUUUGACUCAGACUACUUUUCCUUCCUUUUAUUAGUUUAGAUGAUUUUACUAAUGAGAAACUGGAAGCACAGAGAGGUGAGGGGAAUUGCCCAAGAUCACAGAGAUUGUGAUAAGUUGUGAUCAGAACGCUGACUUCUAGCUUUGUAUACCAUUCUAUUGCCGUUUUUAAGGAUUUACCAGGAAAGCAUUAUAAGGAGAGAAUACUGGACAAAAUGUUGAGAAUCCUGGACAAUAUUGUAUUUGGAUUCUGCGAACGGUCUGUUGCUAAGACACAAUCAGAGAAGAAGGACAUCAGGUUAUACAAAUUACUGAGCCUAACAGAUACAGCCAUUAAAGGGUCAAAGUUGAAUGGAUAAAGAAGAUGUGGUCCAUACACACGAAGGAAUAUUACGCAGCCAUCAGAAAGGAUGAAUACCCAACUUUUGCAUCAACAUGGACGGGGCUGGAGGAGAUGAUGCUGAGUGAAACAAGUCAAGCAGAGAAAGUCAAUUAUUAGAUGGUUUCACUUAUUUGCAGGGACAUAAGGAAAAGCAUGGAGGACAUUAGGAGAAGGGAGGGGAAAAUGAAGGAGGGGAAUCAAAGAGAAAAACGAACCAUGAGACCCUGUGGACUCCAGGAAACAGACUGAGGGUUUUAGAGGGGAGAAAGGGUGGGGGGAUGGGUGAGCUUGGUGGUGGGUAUUAAGGAGGGCACGUAUUGCACGGAGCACUGGGUGUUAGGUAUAAACAAUGACUCAUGGAACACUGCAUUAAAAACUAAUGACAUGCUAUACGGUGACUAACAUAACACAAUAAAUAAAUAAAUAAAUAUACAGCGUCAAAGUCUCUGGUAUAUGAAUCUGCUUUCAAAAGAGACAAAGCCUUUUUUCUUUUCUUUUCUUUCUUUUUUUUAUGAGAGAAGAG